rnacentral:rRNA from 1 species
AUGAACGCUGGCGGCGUGCCUAAUACAUGCAAGUCGAGCGAACGGACGAGAAGCUUGCUUCUCUGAUGUUAGCGGCGGACGGGUGAGUAACACGUGGAUAACCUACCUAUAAGACUGGGAUAACUUCGGGAAACCGGAGCUAAUACCGGAUAAUAUUUUGAACCGCAUGGUUCAAAAGUGAAAGACGGUCUUGCUGUCACUUAUAGAUGGAUCCGCGCUGCAUUAGCUAGUUGGUAAGGUAACGGCUUACCAAGGCAACGAUGCAUAGCCGACCUGAGAGGGGGAGAGCAAACAUGGGAGAUAAAACACGGACAAGACACAAACGGGAGGAGGAGGAGGGAAUUCUCACGAAAGGGCGAAAGGCCGAAAGGAGAAACGCCGGGGGAGUAAUGAAGGUUUUCGAAUAGAAAAACUUUUUUAUGGGGGAAAAAAAUAUGUGAAAGAAAUUGGACAAUUCGGGAGGUAACAAAACAAGAAGGCCACGGAAAACAACGUG